ACAAACUGAUGUCGGCUUUAAAAGAGGAUCUAAAACUUUCACGGAUUAUUUUGCCCGUAUCUUCCAUAGUUUCAGAGGACCAAUUUUUCGCAAGUAAAUGUAUUUUCAGCAAGACAUUCUGAUAUACACAAAUAAAUACUGCUUAUCACACACAAAUAAAUACAGCUUACCAAGACAAAUAAAUACAACUUAUCUCAAGUUAUGGACCAAAUGUAUUGGUAUAUCAAUGCCCCUUCUUUUUCGGGAGGGCUGAAAUGGAUUUUUGUUUUGUUUAAUUAGCUUUGUUUUUAUUGUUCAUCAUUAGAGCAUGUUAUGCAACUGUGGUCAGAAGCAAUGUUCUAAGUGUGUGUGGUCAGUAGCAUGUUCUAAGUGUGUGUGGUCAGAAAAAGUCUAGUAAGAUAUACCUCUUUCACGUCAGUUUGUC